UACGAAGGGGGCUAGCGUUGCUCGGAAUCACUGGGCGUAAAGCGCACGUAGGCGGCUUUCUAAGUCAGGGGUGAAAUCCUGGAGCUCAACUCCAGAACUGCCUUUGAUACUGGAGAGCUUGAGUCCGGAAGAGGUGAGUGGAACUCCGAGUGUAGAGGUGAAAUUCGUAGAUAUUCGGAAGAACACCAGUGGCGAAGGACGGC
rnacentral:rRNA from 1 species